AUGGUGUUUACGAGAGUUGUGUCUUUUUUUUUAAUUUUUUUAUUACUUUUUAUAACAGAUGUUAAAGAUUCUAUUUUUUUUGCGAAAGUUUUAAAUACUGACAUAAAUAAUCCUGAUAAAUCUUUUAAUGCACCUAGCGAUGUUAAAAUUUUUAAUGAUGUAUCUUCCUUUAGCGAAGAGUUAGUAAAUUCUUUUUCUCAUGUUUUAAAAAAAGUUCCGCUUGUAGUGCUCAAAGAAAAAGUAAAAAUUCAACUUGCAAAAGCGUCCGAAAGUUUAAAGGUACCUAACCCAGAAAACGAGUUAUGUGAUAUUAAUUACUCACACGUUUGUCCUGAAAGAUGGGGUAACUAUGGAGAUGGAACAACAUGUUUAAGUCCAGUAGAUUACAAAGGACCUUGUGAUAAAAAAGUAUCUUUUAAAAAUGCUACACCAAUAAGUAAAUAUAACUUUUCUAUACAAUGUAAUGUAUCAUGGCCAUGUAUAGGUAAUUGUGAAGAAAAUUUUGAAAAAGAGUGUCCUGAUGGUUGGUCUUUAAUAAAUUAUAUUUGUUAUGCUCCUGAAAAUUAUACAGGGAAUUGUGUAAGAUCUAAAAAUUUUUCUACGUUUUCUAAAUCAGAAAAAAAAGUAUGGGGAGAUAUAUGUAAUGUUAGUUGGCCAUGUUAUGAAAAAAGUUACAACUUAAACAAUUUGUGUCCAUUAAAUUGGAAAACUAAUCCAGAUAAUAAAACAUGUACAGCUCCUGAUACUUAUAUUGGACCAUGUAAUAAUAUUUUAUAUUUAUAUAAUUUAAAAGAAGAAGAAAAAAAAAGUUUAAAAAAAAUAUGUAAUAUAGAAUGGAAUCAUAUAAAUAAUAACAAAGAAUAUGAUUUACAAGCGUUAUGUCCUAUUGGAUGGAAAAUAACUGAUGUAGGUAUUUCACAGUGUGAAGCACCUUCUUCUUAUAAUGGACCAUGUGAAAAAAAAAUAUCUUUUUCAAACUUUAGUAAAGAAGAAAAAUAUUUAUAUUCACAACGUUGUGAUAUUCAAUGGCCAUUACUAGAUGAACAUAUACAAAAUUUUGAUUUGCCUUGUCCUUAUAAUUGGGUUUUAUUAGAUAAAGAUGAAAACAUAUGUGCAUCUCCCAUAGAAUAUUUAGGACCAUGUGAAAAUAUAAUAUCCUUUAAAAAUUUUACAAAAAAAAUGAAAGCUGCUUGGACAUCAGUUUGUAAUGCUGUAUUUAUUAAUGACAAUGCAUAUAUUCUUGAUACUAGAAAUAAAAAUAUAAAUACAUGGGGAAAUAAAAAAACUAAAAUUUUUGGACUAAACAAAUCAAAAAAUACUUUAGAUAUAAACACGCCUUCAGUUAAUAAUGGACCAAUUGGUUAUACAAAUUCUAUAUAUGAAGGAAUGAUAUUAAAUGCGGAUGAUACAACAAAAUAUUUAACAAAUAAUAAAAAAAACAAACAAAAUAAAAGUCAAGAUAUACAAAUUGAAGAUAUUGGUGAGAGUAACAACAACAAUAAUAAUGACAGUUCGUUCAUUUUAAAUGAUAAAAAAAUUACUGAUUUAAUUUUACUAAAAGAAUCUUCUACAGAUGAAGAGCUAAAAACUAACAUAGAUGAAACAAUAAAUGAAAUAAAAAAAAGGCUACUACGACAAAACAAAUCUUUUUCUUUUAUUCAACUGACAAAAAAAAAUCAUACUAUAAAUGAUAAUAUAAAUAAAAAUAAAUUAGUUAACAUAAAUAACUUAACAGAUAACUUAACAAAUAACUUAACAAAUAACUUUACAAAUAACUUAACAGAUAACUUAACAGAUAACUUGAACAAGUUAUAUAUAGACACAUUGAAUAAUUUAAACGGUAGUAAUGAAAAUAAUAUAAAACUAGAUAAGAAUUACAUUGUUAAUAGAGAUAUAACAAAUAAUACAAAAAUAAAUAGUUUUUCUGAUGACAAAAAUAAUGAAAAUAUAACGACAAUAAAAAACUUAUAUGAAAACUAUGUAAUUGAUAAUGUUAAUUUUUCUUAUACAAAUAAUAUAUGUAUUGAAAAAGAUUACACUACAUGUCCAAUAGGAUGGACUAAAAUAAACUCAAAUGAAUGCUUAGCACCUAAAAGUUAUAUAAAAAAUAACUUAAGAACAUGCAAAUCUAUAAUAAACAUAGGUAAUAUAGUAAAAAAUGUAUAUGAUGUCAUUCAUGAUAUGUCUUUUGUAACAAUUGAUAUAAAUAAAAGAAAAAAAUUAGAAGAAAAAUGUAAUAUUCAAUUUCCUUGUAAAGAAUGUGAAAGAGAUUAUAUUCGAAUAAACUGCCCAUUAGGUUGGACUUAUAUUAAUAAUGGAUCAUGUAAAGCACCUUCAGAUUAUCCAUUACAUUUGAAAGAAUCAUGUGGUGAUGUAGUUAAUUUUAAAUAUGCUACUCCAACGUUUAAAAAACAAUGGAGUUUUCUAUGUAAAGCUGAUUGGCCAUGUUUUUCACAAUGUGAAAAAAACUACGGUCAUAUUUGUCCGUUAGGCUAUAAACUUAUCAAUGAGCGUAUUAUCGAAACACCUACCAAUAAGGAAGAACACAUAUAUGUAUGUGUUAACGAAUAUAGCGACAAUUUUAAAAAAAAAGAUAUUUUUAAAAAAAAUAAUACAUGUCAUGUUAUAGAAAUAUAUAAUAGUAUUGAACUAAAAAAAAAUAUAGAAAAAAAAUGUAAUGUUAUUUGGCCUUGUAUAAACAAAUGUGAAGAAAAUUUUUAUCAAACUUGUCCUUAUAACUGGCUUUUAAAAAAUAAUAAAUGUAUCGCACCUUAUUAUUAUAUACCGCCAAACGGCUGUGCAACCUCAUUUAAUAUAUUAGCUUUUGAUACAAUUGAUAAAUUUUAUUUUUCUAAUAAAUGUUUUGCCCCGUGGCCAUGUAAAGACUCGUGUGAGCAGGAUUGGACUUCUCCUUGUCCUGAUCAAUGGAUACGCAUUAAAGCGACCAAUGUCACGCAAAAACAUAGCGAAAAUGGAAAAGAUGGCGAAAGUGGCGAAAGUGGCAAAAGUGGCGAAAGUGGCGAAAGUGGCGAAAGUGGCGAAGAUGGCGAAAAUGGUGAAAGCGACGAAAACAAUCAAAAAGGUAGUAAUGAUAGAAAGCAAAACAGAAACAUGUACACCACAAACAAGCACAACACAAACAUAAACAAUAAGAAUAGUUACGAAAAUAGAAAAGCCAAUGACGAAAGUUACGGAGAUAGUGAAAACUACAACUCCAUAAACCAUGAGUUCAAACAUUCAUACAAUAAGAACAAAUAUAUGUGCAAAGCACCUAAGAAAUACAAAGGAACAUGUCUUGCAGAUUUUUAUGACUUAAGUGAUUAUACGUUCAUACAAAAACAAGAUUUUGCUUUCCAAUGUAGUGUUAAAUGGCCAUGUGGAAGUACCUUACAUAACUCUCCUAAAUGGCAAAAAAAAGAUGUUUAUAAUGAUAUAAAUUUUAGUAAACUUGAAACUCUUAGAUUUUAUAAUACUUAUUAUUUGUCACAAUAUUUAAAAUCUAAAAAUUCGUUUUUUAAAAAAAAAUAAAACAUAAAAAAAAGAACAAACAAAUAAACAAACUCAUUAAUGUACA
ensembl:lncRNA